UUUUCUCAAAGCGCUUCAAUAGAACUUCAAAACAUUCAAAAAUUUGAAUUGCUUUGUCCAAGCAUCCAUAACCUGAAGGAUGUGGGUUCCAUGGGAAUAAACAGGAGGCAUUAUCUUUGAAGUGACCUGCAUGUACGCUGCCCAAAACAAUUCGUCUUCACUGAAUGCAGCCCAGGCAAGCCAAAAGAUGAUGACCAAGGUUAAGAGUUUUACAGAACUAAAGAUGACCAUUUCCCUCAUUUGACUUCAUACAGAUAACUGUGGUUUAAGCAGGAUCUUGAGUUCAGCCUGAAUUUUAACAAAAGACAUCCAAAUCACUGUACUUUAGCAACACUUACCAACCUGAAGUCUCAGGAGAUGUGUGUGAAGAGUGGCUUCAUGAUUUUAUCUUUCUUGGAGAACCAGAGAGCCCAUCUCCUCCACUGUAAGGAACUUGGAGUCAUGCCUGAAUUGUGUAGCAUGGAAUAAGAGCUGCCAGAUUAACUAAACCCUUCAUAUCAUGGGAAGUAAAACAGCUGAGCACAAGAGAAAAAACAAGUGUGUGGGAUUGUAGUUGCUGCUGAAUGCUUUGUUCCUCUGGACUAGUACAAGUAUAUGGAAGAGCUUGUACCACAGCAGAGAGCAGUGGGAAUUUCCCUAGGAUUAACAGCAAGAUAGAAGCAAUUAAUUAAAAGCUGAAAUAAAAUGUGUGUACCUAUGAAUGCAAAAGUACAGACAGAAGUCUAUGGACAAAGUGUAAAAGGGCAACCCAUUCUAGCAUUAUUCAAAUGAUACCUUAGAGCUGGAGUUAAGAACUGUUCAGUGUGAACGUGGGUAGGUAAAGCUGACCCACAGUAACUGGCACCACCCCUGUGCCAUAGCUUUGCUUUCACAAAAUCAAAACUUAUUUUCCUAUGCUCUAAAACAGUUCAGGGUAAUAACUGUGAACAUGACACAGGGAUAUCUAUAACACUCACAGACCAUUCAAAUAAAGCUGUGUUUUC
rnacentral:lncRNA from 1 species